GGCGCUAUAGCCAAGUGGUUACGGCGACAGAUUAGAAUUCAGGGUCAGAAUCGCAGGAUUCGAACCUGCGCUAUCUGUUCCUCUUCGAGGGCGCAGGUUCGAGUCCUGCUGGCGUCG
rfam:Postia placenta Mad-698-R POSPLscaffold_17_Cont1264, whole genome shotgun sequence.